GAGCGGCAGACGGGUGAGUAACGCGUGGGAAUCUACCUUUUGCUACGGAAUAACGCAGGGAAACUUGUGCUAAUACCGUAUGUGUCCUUCGGGAGAAAGAUUUAUCGGCAAGAGAUGAGCCCGCGUUGGAUUAGCUAGUUGGUGGGGUAAAGGCCUACCAAGGCGACGAUCCAUAGCUGGUCUGAGAGGAUGAUCAGCCACAUUGGGACUGAGACACGGCCCAAACUCCUACGGGAGGCAGCAGUGGGGAAUAUUGGACAAUGGGCGCAAGCCUGAUCCAGCCAUGCCGCGUGAGUGAUGAAGGCCCUAGGGUUGUAAAGCUCUUUCACCGGAGAAGAUAAUGACGGUAUCCGGAGAAGAAGCCCCGGCUAACUUCGUGCCAGCAGCCGCGGUAAUACGAAGGGGGCUAGCGUUGUUCGGAAUUACUGGGCGUAAAGCGCACGUAGGCGGAUCGAUCAGUCAGGGGUGAAAUCCCAGGGCUCAACCCUGGAACUGCCUUUGAUACUGUCGAUCUGGAGUAUGGAAGAGGUGAGUGGAAUUCCGAGUGUAGAGGUGAAAUUCGUAGAUAUUCGGAGGAACACCAGUGGCGAAGGCGGCUCACUGGUCCAUUACUGACGCUGAGGUGCGAAAGCGUGGGGAGCAAACAG
rnacentral:rRNA from 1 species